rnacentral:rRNA from 1 species
UACGUAGGGGGCUAGCGUUGUCCGGAUUUAUUGGGCGUAAAGGGCGCGUAGGCGGCCACCGCAAGUCGACUGUGAAAUCUCCGGGCUUAACCCGGAAAGGUCAGCCGAUACUGCGGGGCUAGAGUGCAGAAGGGGCAACUGGAAUUCUCGGUGUAGCGGUGAAAUGCGCAGAUAUCGGGAGGAACACCAACGGCGAAGGCAGCACUCUGGGCUGGAACUGACGCUGAGGAGCGAAAGCGUGGGUAGCAAACAGGA